rnacentral:rRNA from 1 species
CCUAAUACAUGCAAGUCGAACGCACAGCGAAAGGUGCUUGCACCUUUCAAGUGAGUGGCGAACGGGUGAGUAACACGUGGACAACCUGCCUCAAGGCUGGGGAUAACAUUUGGAAACAGAUGCUAAUACCGAAUAAAACUUAGUGUCGCAUGACACAAAGUUAAAAGGCGCUUCGGCGUCACCUAGAGAUGGAUCCGCGGUGCAUUAGUUAGUUGGUGGGGUAAAGGCCUACCAAGACAAUGAUGCAUAGCCGAGUUGAGAGACUGAUCGGCCACAUUGGGACUGAGACACGGCCCAAACUCCUACGGGAGGCUGCAGUAGGGAAUCUUCCACAAUGGGCGAAAGCCUGAUGGAGCAACGCCGCGUGUGUGAUGAAGGCUUUCGGGUCGUAAAGCACUGUUGUAUGGGAAGAACAGCUAGAAUAGGAAAUGAUUUUAGUUUGACGGUACCAUACCAGAAAGGGACGGCUAAAUACGUGCCAGCAGCCGCGGUAAUACGUAUGUCCCGAGCGUUAUCCGGAUUUAUUGGGCGUAAAGCGAGCGCAGACGGUUUAUUAAGUCUGAUGUGAAAGCCCGGAGCUCAACUCCGGAAUGGCAUUGGAAACUGGUUAACUUGAGUGCAGUAGAGGUAAGUGGAACUCCAUGUGUAGCGGUGGAAUGCGUAGAUAUAUGGAAGAACACCAGUGGCGAAGGCGGCUUACUGGACUGCAACUGACGUUGAGGCUCGAAAAGUGUGGGUAGCAAACAGGAUUAGAUACCCUGGUAGUCCACACCGUAAACGAUGAACACUAGGUGUUAGGAGGUUUCCGCCUCUUAGUGCCGAAGCUAACGCAUUAGUG